rnacentral:rRNA from 1 species
AACGCGAAGAACCUUACCAGGUCUUGACAUCCUCUGACAAUCCUAGAGAUAGGACGUUCCCCUUCGGGGGACAGAGUGACAGGUGGUGCAUGGUUGUCGUCAGCUCGUGUCGUGAGAUGUUGGGUUAAGUCCCGCAACGAGCGCAACCCUUGUCCUUAGUUGCCAGCAUUUAGUUGGGCACUCUAAGGAGACUGCCGGUGACAAACCGGAGGAAGGUGGGGAUGACGUCAAAUCAUCAUGCCCCUUAUGACCUGGGCUACACACGUGCUACAAUGGAUGGUACAAAGGGCUGCGAGACCGCGAGGUUUAGCCAAUCCCAUAAAACCAUUCUCAGUUCGGAUUGUAGGCUGCAACUCGCCUACAUGAAGCCGGAAUCGCUAGUAAUCGUGGAUCAGCAUGCCACGGUGAAUACGUUCCCGGGCUUGUA